UUGAAGAAAAAUCAAAUGAGUACUCAUCCUUCCAUAUGUCAAGAGAGGAUGCAGAAUAUGAUUCACGAA
rnacentral:sRNA from 1 species